GAAGAGUUGGUGUUCAAAUGAUCUUCAAAAUAUAUGUGCAGUUAAAGUCUGAAAGUCUUCUCUUCUAGGGCUCGAUCCUUCAAGGUGCAAAGCAGAAUGUGCAUUUAAGCACAGGCUUAACAUUAUUCAUGUAGAAAUACUGAAUGAGACACAUGCUUCUUUUUCUCCAGGAAGUCUUUUUGGGAAUAAGAGCCAAGAUGGCAAAAACACCGCAUUUAAAGCUGCUGUUGCUGCUGAAACUGGAUUUGGUCUCAGUAACUGCAGUUACAGAUGGAUUCAUUCAUGGAUUUAGACCCCAGGGAGCUCAGUGUCAGGAGACAGCAGCACCAUCACAAGUUGACAGAAUACAAUGCUGAAAUUGGAAAAAAGAAAAGAAAAGAAAAGAACUAUAACACAGCUAUAACCAGAGUGAAGAGUUCCCAGGCCCGGAAAGAAGACAUUUUCCAGGAGCAAAUAGAAGAAGAGACAUUUCCAAGCAAAGCUUAUAAAAAUAGCAUUUCUCACCCAAUUCUUUCAUAUAAUCAUCAAAUUUUUCACUGGAGACAAGUUUCCAGGUUCCCACAAACCGGUUACACAUUAUAUUGGCUUUGUGAGGCAGUAUCCCUCAGGAGAAAGGCAAUGAUAGCAGCAGCUCUCAGUGGGUGGCAAAAGGACUGUGUGAGCUGUGCAUGCCUCAAUAGCUUCUUUAUAAAGAUGCCCUGAACUUGUAAUUCUCAAGACUGACCAACCAGGAGAAACAACGUCAGGGGCAAGACAAUGCACACCUUGUCCAAAGCCACUUGUGUUAGUACCAAGACUCAGGGUUGCGCCUGCCACUGCUUCCUCCACUGAAUAAAGCAGAAUAAUCAGGAGGGCGUGGGGGCCAGCACAUGAGGUUACUGUUGCAGUGCCAGGAGAACAUUUCAGUGAUGCUGCUAUAAGGUCUGAGACAAUCAUGAUGCCAAGCACGGCACCACCCCACUGUGAACAUUAAUGCUGCCUUCCUCCCAACACCAGCACAUCUUCCACUGCCACCAUCAUCACUGCUAUUGUCACCCUGGUGCCAGUGAAUUAAGCUAAAGCCACACGGUGGGUCAUCUCACAAGGAUCUGAAUGUUGGGGAGGCUUGGAAUUACUUUGUCAAAGUUGCAGAAGCUAGCUGAAGCCUGCAUGCCAAGUCAGGGGAAAAAAAUCAUAGGGAAGGGUUGCAGACCAAGCUGGAUGAACAAGCAUCUCAAAUAGGGUUAUUAAGAGAAAGUAGAAAGCCUGCAAGAAAUGGAAGAUGGGAUGGAUCAGUAGGGAAAGCUACCUCUUGCAGAAACAGCAGCUCAUUCAAAGGAUUUAUAGCCAAGAAAGAAGAAUAGCAAGAAAUACCAGCACCAUCACAAGUGGAAAUAGCAUAUCUUGAAGCCCAAACCAUUUCUCCUAAGCAAAUUAAAAAGAGACAAGGAUUCUGAGCUCAGGUGAGUGGGGGAAAGAUGGUGCUACAUUUCCCUUUGUCAGAUUAAGAUCAGAAUAAAAUUCAUUUACCUCAGUGAAUUAGUAGCAGUAAACAAUAGACCGCACAGGAGCCAUGAAUGAACAGUCCAGGAAUA